ACUGAAGAUUGUGUUUAUGUUGUUAUCAUUUCAAGCAAUGUGAACUAUUUCUUGGGGGUGUAUUUCCUACCUCAACACCUUUUGAGGCUUGAGUACCUUCUGGCUAAUAGACCCCUAAGUGUGUUGGAUUGUGGGUGUUACCCAUUUUAGUAACUCAUUAACAUUUUAGUUAGGCAUUGGAAGACCAAAUUUAUCAAAGUUAUGCCACCCCUGUUAUUACAGCUCAUGAUAUAGUCAAGAGCUGAUUGUCACCAAAGAAGGGAAGGAUUCAUCACAUAUUAGUGGCCUCUUUCUUUGGUUUAAACAGUGCUUGGGUUGAAGGAGGAAUCAAGUUCAAGGUCAUCUCUCCACUUGAUGUUUGCUUUGCCUUUUCGGUCUAUAGCAUUAGAAGGAGCCAUUUAGUUGCUGGAGGAGGUUGGAGGGCUCUUCCAACCUUAUCCGAAGUAUUAGAGAACUCUGCACUUAGCCUCUGAUGGAACAUGCCCAGUGGCAAGGCACUCACGAAGACAUGGUUUUUAAAAGAAUCUUUUUUGGGCUAACCACAGUUGCUUUUCAUAAAAACCCACAGUCUGUCUUCCCACUACAACCUGAAUAUCUCUAAAUUCUACAGCAAUGGGGCUCAACCUGUGGGGUACAACCCACUUGGGGGUCGAGAGGUUAGAUGACCCUUUCACAGGGGUUGCCUAAGACAAUCUGGAGAAAAAAUAUAUUGGCAUCACAAGUCAUAACAGUAGCAAAAUCACAGUUGGGAAGUAGCAACAAAAAUGAUUUUAUGGUUGGGGGGUCAUGACGACAUGAGAAACUGUGUUAAAGGGUCGCAGCGUUAGGAUGGUUGAGAACCACUGAUGUAGAGAGUCCUGAGUGAAUUUAUGCUCUCAAGUUAUCUCACUUGCUCUUCUUCCUGAGCAAUGACCUGGUAGUUACUAUGACUACACAAAGCCCACCCCAGAUAGGGCUAGUUUGACCCCUUGCCAUGGUGCCAGGUUGCUUCCCCGGCCUGGGCAAUCAGCCCAUACUCUUUAAGCAGUGAUCACACAGCAGGUCAAGCUGUGAAAGCCAGGCUAAAUUCUUCACAGGUCUUGGGUCACAGGGCAAUUUGCCAUUCUGUGAGAAAAAGUGAGGGACCUAUCCCUUCCCAUUGAGUUUUGUCUCUUGGUGCCUUAGACCCCGAUCCUGCAGCUCGGGUCUCCUUAGAUGUCUAGUCACAGCAUUUGAGCCAGACCUUAAAUUCCUUCAGUGACCUUUGUCUCUAUUUUCCAGGCAACUUCAUAAAAAGUUCUACCUUUCUGUGCAUGCUAGAAGGUGUCACAGACAACCAGAAGCACCAGAUCCCAAUCAGGGCUCUGCUAGGAUGCCUGGGUGGGUCCCAUCUAAAAUUCCCCAUUUUCCAGAGUCUGUGGGUUAAAAUUUAACCUCUUUCUCAUUUGAGACCAGACCAUAGGCUCACAUUCCCUUCUCUGUGCCAAACUUGCUACUCCAUGUAAUCAGGUUUAUAUUUCUUCAACGUCAACUUGUAUAUUUUUAUGCAAAUACAACGUUCUCCCAGGAUAGAAUUUACUAGGACUUUACUCUGAUAAGCAAAGAGUUGCUUUGAUAGAGUUAGAGAUUAGCUUAUACAAUUUUGAAAGCAUAUUUUUGCUGUGUAAUAUUUCGGUGAUCAAGAAGAAGGGGAGUGCUAGAGAGAUGGCUCAGUGGUUAAGAACACUGGCUGAUUCUGCAGAAGGAACCAGGUUUGAUUCCCAUCAUUCAUGAGGUAGCUUACAACCAUCUGUAACUCCAGGCCAGGGCCUCUGAGACUUUCUUCUGGCUUCCACGUGCACCAGACAUGCAUGUGGUGCACAGACAUACAUGCACACAAAACACCCAUACAUAUAAAAUAAAAGUAAAUAAAUCUUUUAAGAGGAGGAGGAGGAGCCAUGGAAGAAAAAGGAGGAGGGGAAAACAGACGAAAAUGACUUAGAGCCAUUUUUUAUCUAAUUUACUUCCCACAAACAUAUUAUUAUCCCUACUUCUCCAAAUGAGAACUAAGUCCCCACCAGGUUAGAUGAUGCACCCGAGGCUGCAGCUAGCAGGCAGUAGAACCAAGAUAUACAACCAGGUAGUCAAAACCCACGAUGAAAUUGCAGUUUGUACUCUUAAAGUCAUUAUUUUCGCUAAUCUGUUUUUAUCAUAUCAUAUUGCACUCAUAUACAGCAUAUCCUAUUGUAUGCUGUGAGGCAUGGUUUUAAGUGAGCACCAUGACAAAGAGAUUUUAAUAACUUGGCUGAUGAUUUACUCGAGUUUGCCAGUUUUAGAAUAGCAAAGCCAAUUUAAAAGUUUUGUAGCGAGACUCUCUUAUAAGGAACACCCGUCAAUAAAAAUGCCGAUGGCCAAUGAGCUGAGGCAGGAAGCAGGAGGUGGGACACUGGCAGGAAGAGAGAGGAUUCUGGGAAAUGGUGAGCGACUGAAAGGAGACGCUGGACAGGAAGGCCGGAGAGAGCAGCAGGGAGUCAGACGGAAGUAGACUAACAGAGAUGACAAGUCCAAUUUGCCAGUCAGAGUCUCUAGAGCUGUCUGGGCAGAGGAAGGACUAGAUCCUGCAGAGUCUUCAAGGAGAGCACCCAGGUGGCGGCAGGGCUCAGGUCCUGCCUGAACCUUCACUUCCGCAUCUUUCCAGCUUGGGAGUGUCAUGAUCUGCCAUCUUACCUCAUAGGGCCAAUGUGGAGACUGACUUGUAUAUAAGACCCCUCUGAGUUCCCCUAAAUGCAACCUCAUUAAAAGGAACAAAUAUAGAUCUUUAAAAACAUGA